rnacentral:rRNA from 1 species
UGGGGAAUUUUGCACAAUGGGGGAAACCCUGAUGCAGCGACGCCGCGUGAUUUAGAAGGCCUUCGGGUUGUAAAAAUCUUUUCUAUGGGAAGAAAAUGACAGUACCAUAGGAAUAAGGACCGGCUAAUUACGUGCCAGCAGCCGCGGUAAUACGUAAGGUCCGAGCGUUGUCCGGAAUCAUUGGGCGUAAAGGGUACGUAGGCGGGUAAGCAAGUUAGAAGUGAAAUCCUAUAGCUCAACUAUAGUAAGCUUUUAAAACUGCUCAUCUUGAGUUAUGGAAGGGAAAGUGGAAUUCCUAGUGUAGCGGUGAAAUGCGCAGAUAUUAGGAGGAAUACCGGUGGCGAAGGCGACUUUCUGGCCAUAACCUGACGCUGCGGUACGAAAGCGUGGGUAGCAAACAGG